rnacentral:rRNA from 1 species
UAGGGAAUCUUCCACAAUGGACGCAAGUCUGAUGGAGCAACGCCGCGUGAGUGAAGAAGGUCUUCGGAUCGUAAAGCUCUGUUGUUGGUGAAGAAGGAUAGAGGCAGUAACUGGUCUUUAUUUGACGGUAAUCAACCAGAAAGUCACGGCUAACUACGUGCCAGCAGCCGCGGUAAUACGUAGGUGGCAAGCGUUGUCCGGAUUUAUUGGGCGUAAAGCGAGCGCAGGCGGAAUGAUAAGUCUGAUGUGAAAGCCCACGGCUCAACCGUGGAACUGCAUCGGAAACUGUCAUUCUUGAGUGCAGAAGAGGAGAGUGGAACUCCAUGUGUAGCGGUGGAAUGCGUAGAUAUAUGGAAGAACACCAGUGGCGAAGGCGGCUCUCUGGUCUGCAACUGACGCUGAGGCUCGAAAGCAUGGGUAGCGAACAGGAUUAGAUACCCUGGUAGUCCAUGCCGUAAACGAUGAGCGCUAGGUGUUGGGGACUUUCCGGUUCUCAGUGCCGCAGCAAACGCUUAAGCGCUCCGCCUGGGGA